AUAUUGGAGGGCAAGUCUGGUGCCAGCAGCCGCGGUAAUUCCAGCUCCAAUAGCGUAUAUUAAAGUUGUUGCGGUUAAAAAGCUCGUAGUUGGAUCUCAGCUCACGCUAAGUGGUCCACCUAAUGGUGGUUACUACUUAGCUGAGCAUUUUACAGAUUUGUCUCUUGAUGCUCUUCACCGAGUGUCAAGAGUGGUCUGUACGUUUACUUUGAAAAAAUUAGAGUGCUUAAAGCAGGCAACUCGCCCGAAUAAUCUUGCAUGGAAUAAUGGAAUAGGACCUUGGUUCUAUUUUGUUGGUCUCCGGAAUCUGAGGUAAUGAUUAAGAGGGACAGACGGGGGCAUUCGUAUUGCGCCGCUAGAGGUGAAAUUCUUGGACCGGCGCAAGACGAACUACAGCGAAAGCAUUUGCCAAGAAUGUUUCAUUAAUCAAGAACGAAAGUAGAGUCGCGAUCGAGAUACAGUUCUAACCAUAAACGAUGCCAA
rnacentral:rRNA from 1 species